rnacentral:lncRNA from 1 species
CAGAAAGCACCCAAGUGAUUUUACCCUAAUCUGCACUGGUGUGAAUGUGUUUCCACAUUUUAUGAUCAGUUAUGGUGAUUUUACCCGCUCUGCACUAUUGUGAAUGUGUUUUCAUAGUAUAUGAUCAGAUUAUUAGAUUAUCAGAAGUCUUUGGGACCCACUCUAGUACACACAUAGGCUUUGAGCCGUGUACUAGGGUGAUUAGCCUUUAGGGGCAGCUCUGCGUACGUAUGACCAGAUUAUCAGAUUACUAGAUUAUCAAAAUAUCAUAUUUGAAUGACUCUGCCUUGUACAUCAAGAUUACGCUGUACAUGAGUAAGGCUAUUCAUUGGGUACCUUUUUGAUGUGAUUUUUCACUAUUUUUACAGCUUGUCAGAUUUCAGAUUAUAGAAUUCAGUCUUUUCAGUUCUCAGAUUAAAGCUUUCAGCUUAUAGUAUUCAUCGGCAUCAAUAUUUCAUAGAUUUUCGCGGAUGUCAUCUUAUUUAUAUUCGUUACAUUUUACAGUUACUUAUCUAGAAUGAAUAACAAAGAAUUUUAUGAUAUAUUCAUGUUUGAUUUUAAAAGUGUUACUAGUUUUCCGAAUUUCUCAAGUUUUAGUAGUGCAAGAAUUUUUAAAAAAUAUGCAUAAAUGAGAAAAGUUUACUUAUUCACAAAUUAUCCACUCACUAAGCUCAUUUAUUUUUCACAUUUUUCUUUAUGAGACAGAAAGCAGACAAAUUGAGCAGUUUUGGAGCCUGUCGAACCACCGAAUUGAGCCACGCACCAUAGGUUGUAUGACAUCCUUUAGCAGAUUAUACAUUAUGUGUUCUUUUGGAAUACAUAUAGUUUAAAUCAAAAAAGUUCAUUAUGGGCUCAUUAGAUAUUUGGUAUCUUUAGUAUAUUUGAGGAUUGUUGUUUGUAAAGUAAGUAAAUAUUGAUUUUCUAGCAUUUUAUUUGAAUAGUUUGUAUUUUGAGGUACUGACGUAUCCUGAUUUAUAUUAUAUGUAUUGAUUUGAGGAAAAUUGGUUAUUGUUAAGGUGGUUUUAGUUCGUAUUUCAGGAAAAACUCUAUCAAAAUUCUGUUAAAAUUUUUUUUUUUAGUCAAGCAAGUCAAAGUUACCUUGAUGAUGGGUCCGACGUUUAGCGGGUAUCUACCAUCGGCGCAUGACACGUGUCGAGUCCAUUAAGGUGAUUCAGGAUUGUCGUGUCAG